rnacentral:rRNA from 1 species
CUAACCGUGCGAAGGUAGCGUAAUCACUUGUUCUUUAAAUGAGGACUAGUAUGAAUGGCCUCACGAAGGCUACACUGUCUCCUUUUUCUAAUCAAUGAAACUAACCUUCUCGUGAAGAAGCGAGAAUAAUUUUAUAAGACGAGAAGACCCUAUGGAGCUUUAAACAACCGAAAAAAUUGCAUACUCCCAUCUUACCUCCCGAGCCCACACUUUUUAUUUAGACACUUUUAUUUCCAGUUUUAGGUUGGGGUGACCACGGAGCAAAAUUUAACCUCCACGACGAAAAAGAUUUCCUCUUUUAGCUAAAAGCUACCUCUUUAAGCAUCAGCAGACUGACUUCUUUUGACCCAAUAAAUUGAUCAACGAACCAAGUUACCCUAGGGAUAACAGCGCAAUCUACUUUAAGAGCUCAUAUCGACAAGUAGGUUUACGACCUCGAUGUUGGAUCA